rnacentral:rRNA from 1 species
GAUGAACGCUGGCGGCGUGCCUAAUACAUACAAGUCGAGCGAACAGAUGAGGAGCUUGCUCCUCUGACGUUAGCGGCGGACGGGUGAGUAACACGUGGAUAACCUACCUAUAAGACUGGGAUAACUUCGGGAAACCGGAGCUAAUACCGGAUAAUAUAUUGAACCGCAUGGUUCAAUAGUGAAAGACGGUUUUGCUGUCACUUAUAGAUGGAUCCGCGCCGCAUUAGCUAGUUGGUAAGGUAACGGCUUACCAAGGCAACGAUGCGUAGCCGACCUGAGAGGGUGAUCGGCCACACUGGAACGGAGACACGGUCCAGACUCCUACGGGAGGCAGCAGUGGGGAAUCUUCGGCAAUGGGCGAAAGCCUGACGGAGCAAGGCCGCGUGAGUGAUGAGGGUCUUCGGAUCGUAAAACUCUGUUAUUAGGGAAAAACAAAUGUGUAAGUAACUAUGCACGUCUUGACGGUACCUAAUCAGAAAGCCACGGCUAACUACGUG